GAAUGAAGUGAUGAUUAAUAGGUUUCCCUAUUGGUUUGAUUGCCGAUAUGAUGGCAUAUCACGUAUUAGCUCUAUCUGAUCAUUC